rnacentral:rRNA from 1 species
UACGUAGGGCGCGAGCGUUGUCCGGAAUUAUUGGGCGUAAAGAGCUCGUAGGCGGCUUGUCACGUCGGGUGUGAAAGACCGGGGCUUAACUCCGGUUCUGCAUUCGAUACGGGCUAGCUAGAGUGUGGUAGGGGAGAUCGGAAUUCCUGGUGUAGCGGUGAAAUGCGCAGAUAUCAGGAGGAACACCGGUGGCGAAGGCGGAUCUCUGGGCCAUUACUGACGCUGAGACGCGAAGGCGUGGGGAGCAAACAGG